rnacentral:lncRNA from 1 species
GUUGAGGCAAGAUGGCGGCUAAGGUGGCGAAGCUGCGGCGGCGGCCGGAGUGAGCGCCCAGCUCGCCGCGCCGAGCGAGGGCCGGGCGUAGGGCCGCGCGCCGGGGCCGCGCCCUGGUCGUCCGGCCGUGGGGCGCGCCGGCUCUCACGCUCCGCCAGCUCCCGGUUGCUUCCUAGAAACAUGAUUGUUUAUUGGACUUGAUCUCACAGCCCAGUGAGGACGUCUUUACUGAUAAUGUCAAGUUCAGGUUACCCUCCCAACCAAGGAGCUUUCAGCACAGAGCAAAGUCGUUAUCCUUCACAGUCUGUCCAGUAUACCUUUCCCAGUACCCGGCACCAGCAGGAAUUUGCAGUUCCUGACUAUCGCUCUUCUCACAUCGAAGUUAGUCAGGCAUCGCAGCUCUUACAGCAGCAGCAGCAGCAGCAGCAGCUUCGAAGGCGACCUUCCUUGCUUUCAGAAUUUCACCCAGGUUCUGACAGAGCUGGGGACCGAACCCAGGGCCUUGUGCUUCCUAGGUAAGCGCUCUACCACUGAGCUAAAUCCCCAGCCCCGAAGUCGUGUGAUUUUGAAUGUGACGGUUUAUUCUUAGGUCACCAACUCUUUAGCAGAAUGGUCCUUUUUUGUUCUGCCCUUCUGCUGGAGCUAUUCGUUCUGCUUGUGUCAAGCUGAAGCUCUACGCAUUUAACUUUUCAAGAUGGUUUCUCCCACUGAAGCUGUAACUCCAGCAGUUCGCCCAUUUCUUGGUUCCAUCUUGGGGAUCUCGAUGCAGGCCCCUAGGUUUGUGUGGAACGGACGGAGACAUUUUCUUAGCCCCACACGAUUAACUGUUCUUUUGGGUUACUUGAGUUCUUUAUAGAUUUUGCAUACGAGGUAUAUAUUUGAAAACAUUUUCCUCGUUUACUGUUUUACUUUAUUCAUUUAUUCACUUUAUUCAUAGAAACUUUUGAGCUUGAUAUAUAAUCCUAGUUAUUUAUUUUUGCAUUUGUGGCCUGAGUUCUUGUUAUGUUAGCAAAAAAUUCAUUGCCAAGGCCAGUGCCUACUCUUCUGUGUUCGCUGUCUGACCUCAUAUUUAAUCUUUUUUCAUUUCCAGUUGAUUUUUCUGUAUUGUGUAUCUAAUUUCAUUCUUUACUGUGUAAAAAUCCACUGUUUCCAGCCUGAUGCCUUUAAAAACCCACUUUUCCCUGUUGUGAUCUCUUGCAACUCCUGUAAAAGAUUAGUUUACCAUAUAUGCUUGGAUUUACUUUUAGGUUUUCUGUUCCUUUCUGCUAGUCUGUAAGCUUUCAGGUGAAUACCAUGUUUUGUUUUGUUUUAAGUAUGUAUGGGUGUUUUCUUUGUAUGUUUUUCUAUGUUCCAUGUAUGCAGUGCCUUUGGAGGCCAGAAGAGGAUGAUUUUGAUUCCCUGGAACUGGGUUUAUAUGUGGCUGUAAAUUGUUGUCGGGGGCUUGGAAUUAAAUUGGGUCCUCUGGAAGAGUACCCAAUGCUUUUAAUUAUUAAACCAUUUCUUUUCUUCAACCCUCAAUGUUUUUUUAAAUUAUAUCCAUGUAAUAUAAUUUUAAAUAAAUAUGUAUGAAGCCUUUU